rnacentral:lncRNA from 1 species
AUGAAUGAAAUAUUGAAGCUUGUCAUUUGGCUAGUGACUAUUACUUUGACCAGCUCUUUGACCAGCAUUUUUUAUCUAGUGGCAGAGCUGAAGCAGAUGUUGAUGCAGGACAGCUUGGCUAUGAAGAAUUCGUGGCGGGUGAGGAGGUUGGUGUUUGGAAGAACUGAUGACCAGCAUGAUGAGGAGAUUCCUCACCGUGGUGACCAGCUCAGUUUUCUAAACUGUGUUCCCUGGAUGUUAACAAGUGAUUCAAGAAGUUUCUGUGAUAUUUGAAGCCCGAGUGUCAUUGGGAGCUCAUGCUUGAAGCCUUGUCAGACAAAAGGGCUUAUCUGGGAAGUUAUGUCCUCAUGUCUCUGUCUCUCUCGAGUUCACGCCAUGGGAUCCACAAAGUUAUGUGUCCAUGUGGCGCGACUCCACCACACAGGCAAAUCUAUGCCCUUAAAUCGGAUGCAUGUGAAAUGGGAAAACAUAAUAAAAUGUGAUUUUAAGAUAUUGGCUCGUGAAAGCACCUGGGUGACUCACCAGUUGAGUGUCUCCCCUCGGCUCAAGGCAUGAUCCUGGGGUCCUGGGAUUGAGUCCCGACUUGGGUUUUUAUGAUCUACCUGCCAAAUUUCUACCCCGUCACUUCUUCCAUAUGGUUUAUGUGAGAAACAAAUUACUAAGUACUGCCCAUCAAGGGGAGGAAAAUGAAGCCUUGUUUUUCGUAUAGGGAGGACUACAAAGAAUUUACAAACGUAUUUUUAGAGAAUCACAACAUAUUUUUGUUGAGCACGUUUCUGUUGAGUGUAUGGUUGGGCCUUGCAAUGGAGAGGGGUGAAGCGGUGGCCGUCCAGGCUGUGUGGGGGGGCCAUCCAGCAGGAUGAUACAGGUCCGCUGCGUGUCCCCCGUCCGGAUUCCCCAAGGAGGAACACAGAAAACGGAGGCAACACUCCGCCAGGGCCGUUUCGUGUCCCUUUACACAGCCGUUUUGCCGGGCAGGGGCGCGCAGGCACCUGGCGGGGGGGGGGGGGGGGGGGCGCAUGUGACCCUUGGCCUGGGGGCGCUGAGGUUCGGGCCCCCGUCGGGGGUAGAGCGUCCGUAGAAACCCCAGAGCCCUG